rnacentral:rRNA from 1 species
GAUGAACGCUGGCGGCGUGCCUAAUACAUGCAAGUCGAGCGAAUGGAUUAAGAGCUUGCUCUUAUGAAGUUAGCGGCGGACGGGUGAGUAACACGUGGGUAACCUGCCCAUAAGACUGGGAUAACUCCGGGAAACCGGGGCUAAUACCGGAUAACAUUUUGAACCGCAUGGUUCGAAAUUGAAAGGCGGCUUCGGCUGUCACUUAUGGAUGGACCCGCGUCGCAUUAGCUAGUUGGUGAGGUAACGGCUCACCAAGGCAACGAUGCGUAGCCGACCUGAGAGGGUGAUCGGCCACAAGGGGACUGAGACACGGCCCAGACUCCUACGGGAGGAAGCAGUAGGGAAUCUUCCGCAAUGGACGAAAGUCUGACGGAGCAACGCCGCGUGAGUGAUGAAGGCUUUCGGGUCGUAAAACUCUGUUGUUAGGGAAGAACAAGUGCUAGUUGAAUAAGCUGGCACCUUGACGGUACCUAACCAGAAAGCCACGGCUAACUACGUGCCAGCCGCCGCGGUAA